rnacentral:lncRNA from 1 species
AGACCCCAGGGCAUUGGGAGGGGUGACAGAUUGCUCUGUGUCCUGAUCGUGGUGUGACUACACAAAUCCAUACAUGUGUUAAAAUUCAUAGAGUUGUGCACCCAAGCACCAACUUUAAUGUGUUUUUUUAUAUGAAUCUUUUUUUUAAGUCAGCCCUGUGCCCAACAUAGGACUUGAACUCACAACCCUGAGAUCAAGAGUCACAUGCUUCACUGACUGAGUCAGCCAGGCACCCCACCGACUUUAACAUAUUGUUUUAAAAAUCUCUCUAACAAAUCUAUUCAGAGACAAGACAGAAAUGAAGUGAAUGUGGCAAAAUGUUGACUGGUUGUUGGGUCCAAGUGGUGAGCUGCAUACUGUACUGGUCUUUCUGGUUUUUUGUACAUUUGACAUUUUUCAUAAUACAGAGGAAGAGGAUUCCCUCUGAAGAGCCGGCCUGGCAGGAGCACUAGUCCCCUCUCCCCAGGAGCACAGGGAGGCAGCAGGUGUGACCUCUCACCCUCACAUCCGUGGCCCUCAAGAACUGACCAGGUGCUUUCCGGGCCAGCCCACCAAAGCUCAGCGUUUGACCAGAAUCUUCUAUGGCCUAUGCCUGCCUGGGGUCAUUGCGUCUGAAACAGGAGGAAAGCAUCUCUGUUCCAUGGCAGGAGCUGGUGUCUGAGUGUCUGAGCACACGGGCCGGGGACAGCAUACCCCAGUGUCUCUGGGGUCCAACUGCCUCAGAAGCAUCAGGUGCUGGUUGAAAGACAGCUUCCGGGGCCCCACCCUGGACCUAUCAGAAGCAGAGCUUCCGGGACCGGGGCCCACGAGUCAGCACUGGAGCCAAGCUCCCCACAGGAAGUCUUAGAGCCACUGGCCCUGGAGAGCAGGUCAAUUCCUCUACAGAUGAGAAGUGCUCUUCUAAUGGGCCCGUUAGGCUAGGAGAGAAAAGCUUCCCCCCUCCCUCACCCCACCCAGGGCGUAAAUCUGGAUUAGCCAUCAGAAAAGUUCUGUAGAGGGCCAGAGAGUCAAUACUUUUUGGCUUGCAACUGGAACAAGUACUCAGCAAUAUGUAAAUGAAUGGGUGUGGCUGUGUGCCAAUAAAACUUUAUUUGUAUGGGGGCGCCUGGGUGGC